GGGGAUACACCUGGUUACAUUGCAGUUGGCUUGUCUCGAGACAAGAAGGGUGAUAGUGACACAGUCUAUUCUUGUGUCAACGACAAUGGUGUGGCGAGGUUCAUCCGUGCCACGCUGAAUAAUACCAUUCUGACUCCGGAUAAGUCUUUUAACCCCGGAUCCUUCCGUGGCUCUGUGAACGGCACUAGGAUUCAGUGCAUUUUUGUAGCUGCGGGUCUCAGCAGCACUGCCCGUGCGGCAAAUACAAGUGCUUUCCUCUAUAUCUUAACUGGCAACUAUACAAA